CACGCAGGCGGUUUGUUAAGUCAGAUGUGAAAUCCCCGGGCUCAACCUGGGAACUGCAUCUGAUACUGGCAAGCUUGAGUCUCGUAGAGGGGGGUAGAAUUCCAGGUGUAGCGGUGAAAUGCGUAGAGAUCUGGAGGAAUACCGGUGGCGAAGGCGGCCCCCUGGACGAAGACUGACGCUCAGGUGCGAAAGCGUGGGGAGCAAACAGGAUUAGAUACCCUGGUAGUCCACGCCGUAAACGAUGUCGACUUGGAGGUUGUGCCCUUGAGGCGUGGCUUCCGGAGCUAACGCGUUAAGUCGACCGCCUGGGGAGUACGGCCGCAAGGUUAAAACUCAAAUGAAUUGACGGGGGCCCGCACAAGCGGUGGAGCAUGUGGUUUAAUUCUAUGCAACGCAAAGAACCUUACCUGGUCUUGACAUCCACGGAAGUUUUCAGAGAUGAGAAUGUGCCUUCGGGAACCGUGAGACAGGUGCUGCAUGGCUGUCGUCAGCUCGUGUUGUGAAAUGUUGGGUUAAGUCCCGCAACGAGCGCAACCCUUA
rnacentral:rRNA from 1 species